rnacentral:rRNA from 1 species
GACGAACGCUGGCGGCGUGCUUAACACAUGCAAGUCGAACGGAAAGGCCCUGCUUUUGUGGGGUGCUCGAGUGGCGAACGGGUGAGUAACACGUGAGUAACCUGCCCUUGACUUUGGGAUAACCUCAGGAAACUGGGGCUAAUACCGGAUAGGAGCUCCUGCUGCAUGGUGGGGGUUGGAAAGUUUCGGCGGUUGGGGAUGGACUCGCGGCUUAUCAGCUUGUUGGUGGGGUAGUGGCUUACCAAGGCUUUGACGGGUAGCCGGCCUGAGAGGGUGACCGGCCACAUUGGGACUGAGAUACGGCCCAGACUCCUACGGGAGGCAGCAGUGGGGAAUAUUGCACAAUGGGCGGAAGCCUGAUGCAGCAACGCCGCGUGCGGGAUGACAGCCUUCGGGUUGUAAACCGCUUUCGCCUGUGACGAAGCGUGAGUGACGGUAAUGGGUAAAGAAGCACCGGCUAACUACGUG